CCCCACCCCUGCUGGAGCUUGUCACACGUCCUCAAACCCCCACAUCCACUCCCUCUGCCCUCCAUCCCUGACUCCCUCCGGACCCCUCCCUUGGCCCCGCUCCGUCACCGAUUCCCUCCGGUCACCUGCUCUGCACCAUGCCCCAAGACCACCUUCCCUGAAGGCCAUCCUGUGCGGCCAGAAGAGAGACAGAGGCAGGGAGGGUGACGGGAGAGCCAGACAAGGACAGAGAGGUAGAGCAGGGGACAGAGGGCGACGGAAGAGGAACGGGCGCGUGGGAGUGGCGAAGGACACAGCACGCUGGGAGCGUGCAUGGUGGCUGCGGGACUCCAGGGCUCUCUCCUGGCCCCUGGGGGCCGCCCCGGCCCAGAGGCUGCGGCUGAAUGAACAGCGACUCUGAUCGCGGCCUGCUGUCUUCCGUUCACAGUGUCUGUCGGG
rnacentral:lncRNA from 10 species